rnacentral:snRNA from 1 species
AGCGACGCAUGCGCCCGC